ensembl:lncRNA
UUUUUUGAUGUCUGUGCUCACAAGGCUCCUUCUUUAUGUCAGUUUGAGAUAAGAAAUUGCCAUUUUCAUUGACUGAUCAGAGAAUCAAGGCCUUGGUCAGCAGAACCACUUGCUAACUUAUAUGGUGUGUAUCUUCCAAGCACUGCUCAGGAUAUUUUCAUGAAAACUUGCUCCUAAUUUCUAAUUUCUAAGUUUAAGAGUUAUCUGUCCUUUUCUCCCUGGAAACACUAUUACCUGUUUGGAAUAAUACAGAUAUUUAGAUCUUUAUAAAUGCUUAUGUAAGUAACUACUUACCACACUCUCCUAGUGAACAGAGCAUUAGCUGCAAAGAGCAAAUGAGGUUUAUGAAUUAAUUGUAUCUUGUGCUCUAGCUUGGCCAGCCUCGAUCAGAUCAGCUUCAGACUGCCUAGGGACAGUGACAGAGCCUGUCGAUGCCACUGCCUUCACCCCUCAGGGACAUGUGUGGCCCUCCAAUCUGAGCACAGCUGUGGGGUCUCCUCAUCCAUGUCCCCACUGAGGAAUGCAUCCCACCUCCUCUGCCAUGUUCCCUUUCUCAUCUCCUCAUCAUCUCAGCCCCAGGGCUGCAACCACUACUGUUUGCUCUCAGACCAUUUCUAAAUAAGAAGGGGGUGAGGGUUUUUUUUUUUGUUUUAUGUGGUUUUUUUUUGGUAAAGGAAAUGUCAAUAAUAAAUAUUAAUGGUCUAAUUUCAGUUUUCAUGUGGCCUCAUCUUCCUGCUGACAAUGUUGCCUCUCUUUGCUCUCUUUUAUCCCCAUGGUUGCAGAGCUGAAACUUUGGCCCUGGUUCAAGAAGAGAAGCAGGAGUAUUUGCAGUAUUUGCAUGCCAGGCUAUGUUUGGUUUCUCUCACAGCAGAAGUGGUACAGCAGGUCUAAGUCUUCUCCUUCCAUAAGCUGUCUGGGAACGCCUUGGACAUCCAUGGAAACCAUGAAGAACACAGUGGAGAGCUCUGUGCCUCGGCCAAGGGCAUAAGCCGUUUGGCUUACACACAUGUCUGGCCCACAUUCCUGCAAGAGGUCUGCAUUUACUAUGAUGAGAGAGUCCAUCAAAAGAAAAAGAGAGAGAUGUGAAGAAAAGAUUCUUGGAAAUUUGAUGACUGGAAAAAUGACAGUUCUUGCCAAGGAUUUUUCUGAAAACUGGAAAAAACAACAGGACUGGGACCAGCAAUCUGUGGGGUAAGGGAGCUUUUAGUGUUGACGUCUUCCAUUCCGCAGAACGACACAGAUUCCGACCCAUUAAUCUCUGGUGGGGUCAGCAAGGUCUCCUGUUGUUCACAGUGCAUCGACAGUCAAAAGUAUUCUCAAAACAUUUCAAUAGGAUACUUUUUUUUUCUUGUGAAAGGGGAAAAAACGGAAUGAGCAUAUGCUAUUUAAGAGCUCCAUCCAAAACUUUUUUAAAAAUGCCAUCUGAAAAGUAAAAAUACUUUUAGCACAGGGUGAUAUUUAUUAAAACCUUAACAAGUUGAACAUGGUAUCAUGAGUAAAAAGUUCAGAGUUGACAACAAGCUGAAAAUAUUCUGAGUUGUAACACAUGGAGCCACUGAAGCUGCUACUAAAUCCUAUGGGGUAUUUAUCAGCAAAAAUGAUAAUAGGUUUAUAAAGCUAUACAGUGUAUGACAAUAAGAUACGAUUUAAGGAAGAAAUGACUUGGAGCUAUGUUAAGAAGAGUUUUUUAGACACCUUUGUCCCCUCAUUUCAUGGAGAAUAUAAAAUUUCACUUUUGUCUGCAGUAACACCUGACUCUCCAACAGAGAAGACAAAAAGUGGCCUUACACAGAUGACUGGGCUCUGCAAUAGCAACAAUUGAUGAUUUCUUAGUUUAAAGGAAAAAGAGGAGAAACUGUACGGAAUUCUGCUGGUCCCAUGUGUUCAAAUGUUAUGAAUCAGGCUCUCUGCAGUCAUCAAUAAACCAGACUAUUGUUGCCA